CUUUGGUCAACCUGUUUUGUUAUGUCUGACUUUGGUCAACGAUAACAAAACACGUUGACCAAAGUUAGACAUAACAAAACAGGUUGACCAAAGUUAG
rnacentral:pre_miRNA from 1 species